UACUUAGGAAUCUACCUAGUAGUGGGGGAUAGCUCGGGGAGACUCGAAUUAAUACCGCAUACGUCCUACGGGAGAAAGGGGGCAACUUGUUGCUCUCGCUAUUAGAUGAGCCUAAGUCGGAUUAGCUAGAUGGUGGGGUAAAGGCCUACCAUGGCGACGAUCUGUAGCUGGUCUGAGAGGAUGAUCAGCCACACCGGGACUGAGACACGGCCCGGACUCCUACGGGAGGCAGCAGUGGGGAAUAUUGGACAAUGGGGGCAACCCUGAUCCAGCCAUGCCGCGAGUGUGAAGAAGGCCUUUUGGUUGUAAAGCACUUUAAGCAGUGAAGAAGACCUAACGGUUAAUACCCGUUAGCGAUGACAUUAGCUGCAGAAUAAGCACCGGCUAACUCUGUGGCAGCAGACGCGGGUAAUACAGAGGUGCAAGCGUUAAUCGGAAUUACUGGGAGUAAAGCGAGCGUAGGGGGGUUGAUAAGUCAGAUGUGAAAUCCCCGG
rnacentral:rRNA from 1 species